rnacentral:rRNA from 1 species
UGUCUCAGUUCGGAUUGGAGUCUGCAACCCGACUCCAUGAAGCUGGAUUCGCUAGUAAUCGCGCAUCAGCCACGGCGCGGUGAAUACGUUCCCGGGCCUUGUACACACCGCCCGUCAAGCCAUGGAAGCCGGGAGUGCCUGAAGUACGCGACCGCAAGGAGCGUCCUAAGGUAAAACCGGUGACUGGGGCUAAGUCGUAACAAGGUAAC